rnacentral:rRNA from 1 species
UCUCACUUUCUAACCCUGUGCACUUGUUUGGGAUAGUAACUCUCGCAAGAGAGCGAACUCCUAUUCACUUAUAAACACAAAGUCUAUGAAUGUAUUAAAUUUUAUAACAAAAUAAAACUUUCAACAACGGAUCUCUUGGCUCUCGCAUCGAUGAAGAACGCAGCGAAAUGCGAUAAGUAAUGUGAAUUGCAGAAUUCAGUGAAUCAUCGAAUCUUUGAACGCACCUUGCGCUCCAUGGUAUUCCGUGGAGCAUGCCUGUUUGAGUGUCAUGAAUACUUCAACCCUCCUCUUUCUUAAUGAUUGAAGAGGUGUUUGGUUUCUGAGCGCUGCUGGCCUUUACGGUCUAGCUCGUUCGUAAUGCAUUAGCAUCCGCAAUCGAACUUCGGAUUGACUUGGCGUAAUAGACUAUUCGCUGAGGAAUUCUAGUCUUCGGAUUAGAGCCGGGUUGGGUUAAAGGAAGCUUCUAAUCAGAAUGUCUACAUUUUAAGAUUAGAUCUCAAAUCAGGUAGG